GAUGAACGCUGGCGACAGGCUUAACACAUGCAAGUCGAGGGGAAACGACGGGGAAGCUUGCUUCCCCGGGCGUCGACCGGCGCACGGGUGAGUAACGCGUAUCCAACCUGCCUCUGACUGAGGGAUAACCCGUCGAAAGUCGGCCUAAAACCUCAUGGCAUCGUCUGCGGGCAUCCAACGACGAUUAAAGAUUUCAUCGGUCAGGGAUGGGGAUGCGUCUGAUUAGCUUGUUGGCGGGGUAACGGCCCACCAAGGCUACGAUCAGUAGGGGUUCUGAGAGGAAGGUCCCCCACAUUGGAACUGCGACCCGGUCCAAACUCCUACGGGAGGCAGCAGUGAGGAAUAUUGGUCAAUGGGCGGGAGCCUGAACCAGCCAAGUAGCGUGCAGGAUGACGGCCCUAUGGGUUGUAAACUGCUUUUAUGCGGGGAUAAAGUGAGGGACGUGUCCUUCAUUGCAGGUACCGCAUGAAUAAGGACCGGCUAAUUCCGUG
rnacentral:rRNA from 1 species